CCUACGGGGGGCAGCAGUGGGGAAUAUUGCACAAUGGGGGAAACCCUGAUGCAGCGACGCCGCGUGAGUGAAGAAGUAUUUCGGUACGUAAAGCUCUAUCAGCAGGGAAGAAAAUGACGGUACCUGACUAAGAAGCCCCGGCUAACUACGUGCCAGCAGCCGCGGUAAUACGUAGGGGGCACGCGUUAUCCGGAUUUACUGGGUGUAAAGGGAGCGUAGACGGCAGCGCAAGUCUGGAGUGAAAUCCCAUGGCUUAACCAUGGAACUGCUUUGGAAACUGGGCAGCUAGAGUGCAGGAGAGGUAAGCGGAAUUCCUAGUGUAGCGGUGAAAUGCGUAGAUAUUAGGAGGAACACCAGUGGCGAAGGCGGCUUACUGGACUGUAACUGACGUUGAGGCUCGAAAGCGUGGGGAGCAAACAGGAUUAGAUACCCGAGUAGUC
rnacentral:rRNA from 1 species